CAAAUAUCAUUUUCUAGAAAAGAGGUUAAACAUCCAAAACAAAGGAAUGAACAACCUCAACUUCAUCAAAUAACUUAAAGGAAUGACUUAGUUAAUGACUUAGUUAAAACAUUUCCUAUUCUAGGAUUGGUUUGAACAACCAGACCCAAAAAAUGUCUAGACACACCACAAAAACAACCUGUUCUAAGUGCCUCACUAGACUCACUUAUCUAACUAACAUGUUUCAUAUCAAGUCACCUCAACAUCUCUAAGGGCAUGCUUAGAUCACAAUAUAAAUAAGAAAAGGGAUGAUUAUGUCUUAACUUAACCAGUCCAUAUCUUCUCAAGUAAGGCUAGCACUUUGGUUUACAAAUCAGCUUGUUAAAGAAGAGUAUUGAUAUGGGAAUUAAAUCAUUUCAGCUACUACCAUCUGGUUUUCAAAGGAACCAGAUAUACAGAAAGGGAACAACAUAUUGAUUAAACUAAAAAAAACAA